rnacentral:misc_RNA from 1 species
UGCGUGUACAAGGAGCUUUUUUACGCAUUCGACGUAUGUCCUCAGUGUUGGUCAACUGUUGACGUAUAGUAUCGCCAUGCAAAACCAUCAAAUCAUCCAUAAGAACCUUCCUCUUCAAUGCGGUAGGUCGAGAAGAAGAACGGGCACGCUUCAUAGAUGGAAUUUCAGGUAUGGGUGGAGUUGGCUUCAUUUUCAAAACUGAAGAUCUUCUCCCAACUAAUAUAGAAGAUAGUAAGUCAUCAUCAUCAGGAACAGAAUCUACAGUUUUCUUUGAUCUGGUCAUGUCGAAUGAUUCAACUGAAUUUAUACUUUGUACAGUUUGGGAACCUUCAGCAAAACUACGUUUUUUACCAGACAUUUUUGUCUGUGCACCACUUUCAUCACCCUCCUCUCUGACUUCUUUGUCAG